rnacentral:rRNA from 1 species
GGGAAAUCUUACCGGGUCCGGACAUAUCGAGGAUUGACAGACAGUUAUACAUGCCCUACAAGUAGGAGUCAGGUUUUAAACCUAAUGGCUCUUUCAUGAUUAUAUGAUAGGUGGUGCAUGGCCGUUCUUAGUUCGUGGAGUGAUCUGUCUGCUUAAUUGCGUUUCAAAAUUUAACUUGAGGACCGGGUUUUGGUUUGGCUAGUGGUUCUACGAUGACUGUGAACUGUCAUGUCUUCGGAUGUGCGACUAUUGGUCUAGGAUCACAUGACUUGCCCCUGGGACUCUUUUGAACGCAACGGACGUGAUUGCAACCCCUUGUUGAGAUUAGAGAUAGUCUCGAUAUUCACUGGACAAACUGGCUGCUUUAUGCAGUCUUGUUGAAUGGUGGAUAAACUCGGGGGACUGCUGACUAUAACCAUUUCUCAAAACAGAGGAAGGUUGCGGCAAUAACAGGUCUGUGAUGCCCUCAGAUGUCCCGGGCUGCACACGUGCUACAAUGAGUGGCGCAAUGUGCUAAUGUUUAAGGGAUAAGAGUGUGGUCAGUAGAACGUCGGGAUUUCCCCUGACGUCUCCCCCGCACGAUUAUCAGCCUUCCCUUAACAGGGCGGGCAACCUUUUCAAAAUACUGGUUUGAUGUUAAAGUAUUGAGUCGUUUUUUUUGGAUGGUGGUUUGUUAACCAAUACCAUCCGGCAACUGCUCGCGAGUUUGUGGUUCUGGCGACUCAUGGUGGGGACCGACGUUUGUAAUUUUUUGUCGCGUGUUAACUAGGAAUGCCUUGUACUG